rnacentral:rRNA from 1 species
CGGCGGACGGGUGAGUAACGCGUGGGUAACCUGCCUCAUACAGGGGGAUAACAGUUAGAAAUGACUGCUAAUACCGCAUAAGCGCACAGGACCGCAUGGUCCGGUGUGAAAAACUCCGGUGGUGUGAGAUGGACCCGCGUUUGAUUAGCUAGUUGGUGGGGUAACGGCCUACCAAGGCGACGAUCAAUAGCCGACCUGAGAGGGUGACCGGCCACAUUGGGACUGAGACACGGCCCAA